rnacentral:rRNA from 1 species
GACGAACGCUGGCGGCGUGCUUAACACAUGCAAGUCGAACGGAAAGGCCCUGCUUUUGUGGGGUGCUCGAGUGGCGAACGGGUGAGUAACACGUGAGUAACCUGCCCUUGACUUUGGGAUAACUUCAGGAAACUGGGGCUAAUACCGGAUAGGAGCUCCUGCUGCAUGGUGGGGGUUGGAAAGUUUCGGCGGUUGGGGAUGGACUCGCGGCUUAUCAGCUUGUUGGUGGGGUAGUGGCUUACCAAGGCUUUGACGGGUAGCCGGCCUGAGAGGGUGACCGGCCACAUUGGGACUGAGAUACGGCCCAGACUCCUACGGGAGGCAGCAGUGGGGAAUAUUGCACAAUGGGCGGAAGCCUGAUGCAGCAACGCCGCGUGCGGGAUGGCGGCCUUCGGGUUGUAGACCGCUUUCGCCUGUGACGAAGCGUGAGUGACGGUAAUGGGUAAAGAAGCACCGGCUAACUACGUG